rnacentral:rRNA from 1 species
UACGGAGGGGGCUAGCGUUGUUCGGAAUUACUGGGCGUAAAGCGCACGUAGGCGGCUUUGUAAGUUAGAGGUGAAAGCCCGGAGCUCAACUCCGGAACUGCCUUUAAGACUGCAUCGCUUGAAUCAUGGAGAGGUCAGUGGAAUUCCGAGUGUAGAGGUGAAAUUCGUAGAUAUUCGGAAGAACACCAGUGGCGAAGGCGACUGACUGGACAUGUAUUGACGCUGAGGUGCGAAAGCGUGGGGGAGCAAACAGG